UCCCCCACCAGAUGGUUAGUAUUGCCUCUUCGGCAAGACCGCGCGGGUGUGGGGUGGUUUGGUGUGCGUGGUGCGUGGUACGACACCGGGCGCGCGUUUACGAUCUAUGAGAACGUAUUUACAAGCCGGUGGAAAUGCGAGAUAUCACGCAUUAGCAAGGACAGAGUCACGUAACGGUCGGGGAUCGUUCGCGGUUAGCCAAAAUAUUUUUCAUCACUCAACACGCCCUAGUACGCGAGAGAUGGCCGGCUGAUGGUCGGUAAUUUCUCAAGGUCAUCGUGUCAACUUCACGAAAAGCAAUUUACAGACUCUUCAAAGCUUUCUGAAUACCUUUGAUUCGUUGCGGAAGGGCGCUUUCGGAGACUCCCCCUCACCUGGGCGGAGAAAAGCCAAGCUCGCCCCCUCCCUUACUGGAUAACGGAACUUAUGAUGGGAUUACCGCUUGACGCCGCUUUGCCCCGCUUUCCCGAGCUCUCGUACUCGCAUUCCCACACUAGUAUUCGCUAUAAGCAUUGUACUUUUAUGAAUUAUAAUUAAUAUAAUUUGCUGCCAUUGCUUUAAACACAAUAUUGUAAGGUUUGAAAUGUCGAUUACAAAUGUUGUUCGUUGAAAUUUGUGCGUUGGCAUAAUUGAACCUUUUAAAUUGCUUGGUUCGAAAAUCCGGCAAUAGUAAUCUAUUGGACUAACAUUUUACAAUAUUUUAUCGCGCGUUUCAUUGUUGAUAUAGUCUUAUCCACGUCAUCCAUAUCCAUCGUUUCAAACCUACUCUCAUUUUCAUUGAAAAGUGAAAAGUUCGUAUAGAUUUACUUAUCAAAUAAAGUACGUAAAGACAAUGAUAUUCAAACAAGUGUCGAUAAAGUCAAUUUUCAACUUUGUCAAAAAAAUUAUUUGCUAGCUUUUCAACCGAGUCUUUCAACUCGAAAUUCAUCACGUGUCCGAUAGAUGGCACUUCCUCUCACGUGUUUUUAUGUGAAUAUUUUGCUCAUUAUGCCAGCCUUGUACAGUGAUAUAUCAUUAUUGUUAAUAUGU